rfam:Bacteroides sp. CAG:98 genomic scaffold, scf73
GCAGUCGGUCGGUCUGUCGCUGAUGCCGCAAGGCAGAAGAGGAAAGUCCGGGCAACACAGAGCAUCCUACUUCCUAACAGAAAGCUAUCUGCGAAGGUAGAGUAAUGCAGAAGAAAAAAACCGCCUUGUUCUUUCGGGAAUAAGGUAAGGGUGAGAAGGCGGGGUAAGAGCCCACCAGCCGCAUGGUGACAUGUCGGGCUGUGUAUCUUAGGAGUUGUAAGGUCAUGUAAACCGGCAUUAUGAGGGUUGCUCGCCCCACGUCGGAGGGUAGACCGCUAGAGCCUGUUGGUGACAACAGGCGUAGAUAAAUGACAGACGCCUUACCGCUAGAUAAGGAACAGAACCCGGCUUACAGACCGACUGCUUUU